UACGAAGGGGGCUAGCGUUGCUCGGAAUGACUGGGCGUAAAGGGCGCGUAGGCGGUUCGUACAGUCAGACGUGAAAUUCCCGGGCUCAACCUGGGGGCUGCGUUUGAUACGUGCGGGCUUGAGUUCGGAAGAGGGUCGUGGAAUUCCCAGUGUAGAGGUGAAAUUCGUAGAUAUUGGGAAGAACACCGGUGGCGAAGGCGGCGACCUGGUCCGGAUACUGACGCUGAGGCGCGAAAAGCGUGGGGGAGCAAACGGG
rnacentral:rRNA from 1 species